rnacentral:rRNA from 1 species
CAUGGUUGUCGUCAGCUCGUGCCCGUGAGGUGUCGGCUUAAGUGCCAUAACGAAGCGCAACCCUUGUCGUUAGUUACCAUCAAGUAAUGUUGGGGACGUCUAGCGAGACUGCCACCGUAAGGUGUGAGGAAGGGGGGGAGUGACGUCAAAUCAGCACGGCCCUUACGUCCGGGGCGACACACGUGUUACAAUGGUAGGUACAGAGGGCAGCUACCCAGUGAUGGGGUGCGAAUCUCAAAAACCUAUCUCAGUUCGGAUUGGAGUCUGCAACUCGACUCCAUGAAGUUGGAUUCGCUAGUAAUCGCGCAUCAGCCAUGGCGCGGUGAAUACGUUCCCGGGCCUU